rnacentral:lncRNA from 1 species
AUACAGUUGGGUGCAGACCAAGCAUUACAUGUAAACGGGCCUAAAAAGUGAACGCGGCGUUUACUCGCGUGCACUUCAUGUACACAUCACGUUAACUCUGCGUUAACUCCGAAAUUUUAGUAGACAUAAAUAGUAAACGGGCGUUUACUUUCGCGUUUACCUCCGCGUUAACGCGAAAACCGCGCGUCUUCUAAUCUUGUAAAGAGUAAACGGGCGUUUACUUUCGCGUUUACUUCGCGUUAACGCGAAAAAGGCGUGUCUUCUAUCUUUAAAAAAAAGUAAACGCCCGUUUACUGUUUGUAGUAAACGCGCGUUAACGCAGAUUGUCCUCGUAUCCUGGAUACACUGACCUAAUAUAUCACAUGAUAAGGUACAUUAAAAUAUCCAUCUGUCCAUUUUCGAUCAACAUAUUGGCAAUUGCAUUUAAUGAAAUGAGACCUCUUUAAUUAAUUUAUUGAAAAUUAAUCAUUGCAUAUAAGAACAAAAUGGAAAUUCUUCCUGGAACUGUAAAACCUACAAGACUUUCAGUUUACAUUCGUGAGAGG